rnacentral:rRNA from 1 species
UGGGGAAUAUUGCACAAUGGGCGCAAGCCUGAUGCAGCCAUGCCGCGUGUAUGAAGAAGGCCUUCGGGUUGUAAAGUACUUUCAGCGGGGAGGAAGGCGUUAAGGUUAAUAACCUUAUCAAUUGACGUUACCGACAGAAGAAGCACCGGCUAACUCCGUGCCAGCAGCCGCGGUAAUACGGAGGGUGCAAGCGUUAAUCGGAAUUACUGGGCGUAAAGCGCACGCAGGCGGUUGAUUGAGUCAGAUGUGAAAUCCCCGGGCUUAACCCGGGAAUUGCAUCUGAUACUGGUCAGCUAGAGUCUUGUAGAGGGGGGUAGAAUUCCAUGUGUAGCGGUGAAAUGCGUAGAGAUGUGGAGGAAUACCGGUGGCGAAGGCGGCCCCCUGGACAAAGACUGACGCUCAGGUGCGAAAGCGUGGGGAGCAAACAGG